UGGGGCUGUUAUGGGGCUGU
rnacentral:miRNA from 1 species